GGCCCCGUCGUCUAGCGGUCUAGGACAUCGGGUUUUCAUCCCGAAAACCAGGGGUUCGAAUCCCCUCGGGGCUA
rnacentral:tRNA from 1 species